rnacentral:rRNA from 1 species
GACGAACGCUGGCGGCGUGCUUAACACAUGCAAGUCGAACGAUGAUGCCAGCUUGCUGGUGGAUUAGUGGCGAACGGGUGAGUAACACGUGAGCAACCUGCCCCUGACUUCGGGAUAACCGCGGGAAACCGUGGCUAAUACCGGAUAUGACGCGCUAUCGCAUGGUGGUGUGUGGAAAGAUUUAUCGGUUGGGGAUGGGCUCGCGGCCUAUCAGCUUGUUGGUGGGGUGAUGGCCUACCAAGGCGACGACGGGUAGCCGGCCUGAGAGGGUGACCGGCCACACUAGGACUGAGACACGGCCCAGACUCCUACGGGAGGCAGCAGUGGGGAAUAUUGCACAAUGGGCGCAAGCCUGAUGCAGCGACGCCGCGUGAGGGAUGACGGCCUUCGGGUUGUAAACCUCUUUCAGUAGGGAAGAAGGCCUUCGGGUUGACGGUACCUGCAGAAGAAGCGCCGGCUAACUACGUG